rnacentral:hammerhead_ribozyme from 1 species
AUUCAGAAGUUGAGACCCAAAUAGGACGAAAUGCGCAUCCUGGAU